GCCUCCGGCGGAAAGGUGCACGGGAGCGUUCCUGCCUCCGGCGGCUGGCGGCUCCGGGGGCAUAGACGCCCUGCCGGACGAGGUCGUUCACCACAUCCUCGGCUACCUGGACGCGGAGGAGGCCAUGAGGACAUGCGUGCUGGCCCGGCGCUGGCGUGACCUCUGGCGGUCGGCUACGAGACUCUGGAUCGAAUGUGACUCCCUGGCGUAUGCUAGGCAGUUCGUGGAACACCUUCUGCUCCUCCGCGCAGGCUCGCCGGUCCACACAUUCGUGCUCUGGUUCUAUGGAUUCGAAGACGGUGACGAGCGCCGUGUCAACCUCUGGGUGCGCCAUGCUCUUCUGUGCAAAGUUCAGGUGCUCACGCUCGGCUUUGGUUCAACUGGCAAUUAUGACUUUAAGCUUCUCAACCUACCUCUGGUCUCCCGCACUUGAGGAGCAUACGUCUUUUCGGUGUACAAGUGCAAAACAGAACCUGUGACUUCGCUGAUUGUCCUGCACUGGAAAAUCUAGACCUCGACUGCUGCCUCUUGCCUUGUGUCAGGAAAAUCUCAUCCAACUCCCUGAAAUUCCUAACCUUCACAUUUUGUGGUUUCAACCAAGACCGAAGGUUCCGAACUCUUAUUUAUACUCCAAGUCUUGUUUCACUAAGGCUGGAAGAUCACGUAUUCCAAGAUGGCCAUUUGUACAGGACUUCUGUUCUUGACAACAUGCCGGCACUAGAGAAGGCAUUUGUCAGACUUGCUAAUGAGAAUGCAGACUGUUGCACUCAUGCUGACUCUGGGAAUUGUGGUCACGAGAACUGUAACUCUUGCUAUGGUGGCAACUGUGUGCUUCUGAAAGGCUUAUCAGAAGCUGAGAAUUUGACAUUGAUAGCAAUUUCCAAGAUGUUUAUUUUCAAAAGGGAUUUGAAGCAAUGCCUUACAUUUAGCAAGUUAAGACUUUGACACUCAAUGAUCACUGGUGCGUGGCGCCUGACUUCCAUGAACUAACUUGCAUUCUAAAGAGCUCGCCGGUCCUAGAAAAGCUCACUCUUCACCUUUUCUCAGAGGAACCAGUGAAAUGGUAUUUACUACAGAGACCUAAGCCUAAAUUGGGAAUUAAAGAUGGAAUCCAACAGAGAUUUCAGCUGCAAUAUCAUUCCACUUGAAGGAGUUUGAAGUCAAGUGUGCUGCCGUUGAUGACAAAGUCAUCAACAUCCUAAAGUUCAUGAGCACUUUCAACAUAAGUUUCAGUUUAGAUGAAAUGGAGGUUUUGGAGUAGAUUAUGGAACCACAGGGAUGUUAUCUCGCUCUUCUGUGUAUUGUGCUUUGCAAGGGUGAACAUAGGAUUGGCAGUCGCUUGCUUAGAUUAUGGACCUGGAAGUUAAGCACCAUCUUGUGCUAUUUUUCUUGCUUUUCUUAGUCUAUGUUCUUAGAGCUUUCUUGACUUAAAAGCUGGUAAAAGAAUAUCUAAUGCCCGUUAGGCCUUGAUCAUCUAUAUAAAUGAUUGUCGUGCAACCAGUGGGUAUGGAUUCAUAUGCAGUGUAUGUGGGACAAAAAUUGUGUAUGGAGCUCACAAAAACAACUUAUUGUGUUGAGAUGGCAAUGUUUG